rnacentral:rRNA from 1 species
UGGUGAGAUAAAAGCUCACCAAGGCAACGAUGCGUAGCCGACCUGAGAGGGUGAUCGGCCACACUGGGACUGAGACACCGCCCAGACUCCUACGGGAGGCAGCAGUAGGGAAUCUUCCGCAAUGGACGCAAGUCUGACGGAGCAACGCCGCGUGAACGAAGAAGGUUCUCGGAUCGUAAAGUUCUGUUGUUAGGGAAGAACACGUACCAUUCAAAUAGGGUGGUACCUUGACGGUACCUAACGAGAAAGCCCCGGCUAACUACGUGCCAGCAGCCGCGGUAAUACGUAGGGGGCAAGCGUUGUCCGGAAUUAUUGGGCGUAAAGCGCUCGCAGGCGGUUUUUUAAGUCUGAUGUGAAAUCUUGCGGCUCAACCGCAAGCGGUCAUUGGAAACUGGAGAACUUGAGGACAGAAGAGGAGAGUGGAAUUCCACGUGUAGCGGUGAAAUGCGUAGAGAUGUGGAGGAACACCAGUGGCGAAGGCGACUCUCUGGUCUGUAACUGACGCUGAGGAGCGAAAGCGUGGGUAGCGAACAGGAUUAGAUACCCUGGUAGUCCACGCCGUAAACGAUGAGUGCUAGGUGUUAGGGGGUUUCCGCCCCUUAGUGCUGGCGUUAA